rnacentral:rRNA from 1 species
GAAGAAGCGCCGGCUAACUACGUGCCAGCAGCCGCGGUAAUACGUAGGGCGCAAGCGUUGUCCGGAAUUAUUGGGCGUAAAGAGCUCGUAGGCGGCUUGUCACGUCGGUUGUGAAAGCCCGGGGCUUAACCCCGGGUCUGCAGUCGAUACGGGCAGGCUAGAGUGUGGUAGGGGAGAUCGGAAUUCCUGGUGUAGCGGUGAAAUGCGCAGAUAUCAGGAGGAACACCGGUGGCGAAGGCGGAUCUCUGGGCCAUUACUGACGCUGAGGAGCGAAAGCGUGGGGAGCGAACAGGAUUAGAUACCCUGGUAGUCCACGCCGUAAACGGUGGGAACUAGGUGUUGGCGACAUUCCACGUCGUCGGUGCCGCAGCUAACGCAUUAAGUUCCCCGCCUGGGGAGUACGGCCGCAAGGCUAAAACUCAAAGGAAUUGACGGGGGCCCGCACAAGCAGCGGAGCAUGUGGCUUAAUUCGACGCAACGCGAAGAACCUUACCAAGGCUU